rnacentral:rRNA from 1 species
UACGUAGGGUGCGAGCGUUAAUCGGAAUUACUGGGCGUAAAGCGUGCGUAGGCGGUUCUCCAAGUCCGUUGUGAAAGCCCCGGGCUCAACCUGGGAAUGGCAGUGGAAACUAGGGGACUGGAAUCUGGCAGAGGGGGGUGGAAUGCCGCGUGUAGCAGUGAAAUGCGUAGAGAUGCGGCGGAACACCGAUGGCGAAGGCAGCCCCCUGGGCUGAGAUUGACGCUCAGGCACGAAAGCGUGGGGAGCAAACAGG